CACGUAGGGGACAAGCGUUAUCCGGAUUUACUGGGCGUAAAGCGCCCGUAGGCGGCUUGAUAAGUUGGACGUGAAAGCUCCCGGCUUAACUGGGAGAGGCCGUUCAAAACUGACAGGCUAGAGUGAGGAAGAGGAGAGCGGAAUUCCCGGUGUAGUGGUGGAAUGCGUAGAUAUCGUCAAGAACACCGAUAGUGAAGACAGCUUACCAAGCUUCAACUGACGCUGAGGCACGAAAGUGUGGGGAUCAAACAGG
rnacentral:rRNA from 1 species